rnacentral:rRNA from 1 species
UACGUAGGGUGCAAGCGUUGUCCGGAAUUAUUGGGCGUAAAGAGCUCGUAGGCGGUCUGUCACGUCGGACGUGAAAAUCCAGGGCUCAACCCUGGACCUGCGUUCGAUACGGGCAGACUAGAGUUCGGUAGGGGAGACUGGAAUUCCUGGUGUAGCGGUGAAAUGCGCAGAUAUCAGGAGGAACACCGGUGGCGAAGGCGGGUCUCUGGGCCAUUACUGACACUGAGAAGCGAAAGCAUGGGGAGCGAACAGG